ACUUACAUUAAAAUUUAGAUCCCUGAGACAGCUGAAGACCAACCAUGGGCCUCUAAUUUUCAUUACCUCCUCCUUAUUCUCAUUUUUUAUUUUGAACUUUGGCAAGAAUGGGUGAAAAUAUUGAUAAACAUACCCAAUUGUUUCACCAGGUGGAGCUUCAACUUUUAGCUGCAAAAGAUUGAAAAUAUAUCAUUGAUCCGACCGGAUAUGUCAGACUUAAUCAUUUGAAAAUGGCUGGAUUUUACCCACACCAAUCUUGAAGAAUGGGCAUUGGUGAACAUGGAAAUAUUUCGUCCCAAGUAAAGACAAGAUAAAUCAUCUUAAAAUGAGGUAAGAAAGAUGGGCAAAGUGAGCCACUGCUGGGAAUGAGCCUAAGACACCAUAUCUGUAAAAGUCACAUCAUGCUGAAGGAAAGCAUUCCUGCAGUGACUCCUGUGAGAAGAGACACUUCACUGCUGAGGGUUGGGGCAAUGCUGCAGGAAGCACUGGACCCAAGAAAAUAUCUGGUGGCAUCAGGAAUAUUCAGCAGGAGCAGGAGUGUUCUUCUAAGAAGACAAGCUGGAGGCCUGCUGGUCAGCAUCCUCCAACACUGCAGUGCCCCUGCACCCUGGCUAGUAAUCUACGGUGCAUGGAACAAAGAUUCUACUGGAUUCAUCUGAACUCCCAAGAGAAACUGUGGGCAGGAACAACAAUUUUCCAAAACACUCCCAUCCAAAUUCAAAAAGUUUACUCACUUGGAAAUGUACUAAGGUAACUAAAAUAUUGGAUGUGGCUCUGUGCCAUUCUCAAGGUGAUCACAAAUUGGAGAGAAAAGAGCUGAAGUGGUGGAAGUCAGGUAAAGUGAUUGAAUCCCUUAAAGUUAUUUGGAGAGAGACAAGAAAGCAAAAGUAAGUCUUGGCUGUAUUCCUUCUACAUUAGAGUUUAUAACAUUAGGACAGAUGCUUAUCGUAAUAGUGCAGUCAUCCCACAGUAUCCGUGGGAGAUUGGUUCCAGGACCUCCUGUGAAUAAUAAAAUCCUAGGCUGCUCAAGUCCCUGAUAUAAAAUGGCGUGGUGUUUCUGUAUAACUUAUGAACCUCCUCCUGUAUUAUUUAAAUCAUCUCUAGAUUACUUAUAAUAUGCAAAUACAAGGUAAACGCUAUGUAAAGAGUUGUUGUAUUGUACUGCUUAGGAAAUAGUGACAAGGAAAAAGAAGUCUGCACAUGCUCAGUACAGAUACAAUUUCUAAAAAUAUAGUUUUGAUCCAUGGUUGAUUGAAUUCAUACAGGUGGAACCCACGGAUAGGAAGGGCCAACUGUAUUUUAGCAUUUCACUUCUAAUGUUCAGAAAUAGACUACUGAUUUCAUUAUUGUUAAGACAGAUAUUUGUAAAUAAUCAGGUUUACCAUCUCACAUCCCUCGGAAUGCUAUAUUUAUAGUUUUUGAUGUAUCUUUAUUUGCAUAAACUUCUCUUUUUAGAUAUAUAAGCAAUACAAUUAAUACAUACCUUCCAGAUGUUCAAUUUGCUGAUGAAUUAGUAUCAUAUCUAUCUAUUAUAGUAAAAAGGAAAUUAAGUUGUAUGUUAAAUAUUUUAUAGCGAACCAAUUACUAUUCAUGUUUUUAUUGUUUAAUACUGCAUAUAAUCAGUUAUUGACAUUUAUCAUUAUCAACUCUUAAUAAGUUUGUUACCUUUUAUUGUAAAACUAAAGUUAACAUAUUCUUAAUUAAAAAUGCUGUAUGUUUAUUGAAAGCAUUCACUACUAAUAUUGUAAACUUAGGUAAAAUAAACUAAUAUAGUGGAAUCCCUAUAAAAGUUAGAAAACAAUGUUCUUCCUAAAUGAGGAUUUAAAAUAUAAAGACUUUUUUAUCGAUUUAAAUAAGUUUUUAUUGUAAGUCUCAGUUACUCAUUUUAUGUCUACUUCAUAUAAUCAUUUUAUAGUAAGUUACAAUUUCUUCUAUAUAUUUUUGAGACUCUAAAAAAACUAGGGUAUUUCUUAGAGAAAUAUGAACUACUAAACAUUCUUAUAAUAUUCACUGUGCAAGUGUAUUGUGGGAAAUUAAGUUAUAAAGAGUAAAAGAGAGAUAAUUCAUUUACUGAAAACUCAUUGACUAUCACAGAAAUAUUUGUUUAUAGAUUGGAGAUAUAAAACUUUAUAUUCCUAUUUUACCAAUCCGUUCUCUAAGACAAAACAAAUAUUAAACCUCAGUUUGCUGAGGUAAGCUAUCAUGUAGUACAGCAAAAUCCAGGACUUUUUUCCUUAUUGGUGACAUUUGUAAAAUUGGGUCUUCCAAAGAAAAAAAGCAUCAUAAAAAUGUAAUUUUACUAAUUGGAAGAAAAAGAUGACUCAAAUCCCACACAACAAUAUUAAGUCAUUUUUGGUACUACUUACUAAAACUCAACUCUAAAUUUUAGAUGUCUUUUAAAUGUCAAGAAAAUUAUUCAGUAUUGGAAUUAAAAAGCACAGAAUCCAGAAUCAGGGUACCAGCCCCUGAUUGGUGAUGAACAGGGCACCCCCAGUUCAUUAGGUUUUUAAUCCUGGGUAAGUUAUGUAACUGCUCUGGACCUCAGUUUCCUCUUGUGUAGGGUGAUGAUGAUUACAACGCCUAUACAUCAUAGAGAUUCUGGAAAGAGUAAGUGAGGUAAUACAUGUAUAAUGCUUAAAAACAAAACCUAGAAAAUAGUGCUUAAUAAAUUUUGACUUUGGACUAUUAUCACAUUAUAUAAAAAAUCUUAGAAAACAAUCACCUGUGACAUUCAUAUUUUGAUUUAACAAUGAAUCGAACCCAAAAGAACCAGUAACUUGUUAACAGAAUGUGUUGUUUACCAUUUCUGACAUUAAUUAAUUAGCAGUAAAUAAAUAAA